rnacentral:rRNA from 1 species
GACGAACGCUGGCUGCGUGCCUAAUACAUGCAAGUCGAGCGAGCUUGCCUAGAUGAUUUUAGUGCUUGCACUAAAUGAAACUAGAUACAAGCGAGCGGCGGACGGGUGAGUAACACGUGGGUAACCUGCCCAAGAGACUGGGAUAACACCUGGAAACAGAUGCUAAUACCGGAUAACAACACUAGACGCAUGUCUAGAGUUUGAAAGAUGGUUCUGCUAUCACUCUUGGAUGGACCUGCGGUGCAUUAGCUAGUUGGUAAGGUAACGGCUUACCAAGGCAAUGAUGCAUAGCCGAGUUGAGAGACUGAUCGGCCACAUUGGGACUGAGACACGGCCCAAACUCCUACGGGAGGCAGCAGUAGGGAAUCUUCCACAAUGGACGAAAGUCUGAUGGAGCAACGCCGCGUGAGUGAAGAAGGGUUUCGGCUCGUAAAGCUCUGUUGGUAGUGAAGAAAGAUAGAGGUAGUAACUGGCCUUUAUUUGACGGUAAUUACUUAGAAAGUCACGGCUAACUAC